rnacentral:lncRNA from 1 species
UAUAUGGAAAGAGGAGGAAGGAGCUGAUGGAAUCUGAAGAGUUCACUUCAGUGGCACCACUUAGCAGAGCAAGCUCCCUAUUCAUGUCUGCAAGUACCCAGGACUAAAUUGGUCUUUGUUUCAGCAGACACAGAGCCUGAAAGAGAACUUCUCACCAAGUUAUACUUUGAAGUAUCAGCUGUUUGAGCAUCCAAUUUUCAACGUUGCCUUGCACGUUCAAGUAAAGGCAAGACAGUUUUUCGUCUGUGGUAUGGAUGCGCUCUUACAGGGAUCAGUUUGCCUGACCCAGGACACUGAGAUGGAAGUUUGAGAGGAAGAUUCCAGAGCGGUAUGGAAGACCAUAAAGCCUUGAACACUGGAGUUAACUAUUGC